rnacentral:rRNA from 1 species
GACGAACCGUGCGAACGUUAUUCGGAAUCAUUGGGCUUAAAGGGCGCGUAGGCGGCGGUGUAAGUUGGAAGUGAAAUCCCAUCGGCUCAACCGUGGAAUUGCUCCCAGUACUGCACUGCUCGAGGGGGAUAGGGGUCUGCGGAACUACCGGUGGAGCGGUGAAAUGUGUUGAUAUCGGUGGGAACGCCGAGUGGCGAAAGCGG